GCAGGUUUGAGUUGAGCGCAGCGAAACAACGGAGCCGCUCGCGGCGACGGCCCGAAGGGCGAGCGAAGCGAGUCAUCCUGCACGACCCACCA
rnacentral:sRNA from 2 species